rnacentral:misc_RNA from 1 species
GAUGAAGAACGCAGCGAAAUGCGAUAAGUAGUGUGAAUUGCAGAAUUCAGUGAAUCAUCGAAUCUUUGAACGCACAUUGCGCCCUUUGGUAUUCCAAAGGGCAUGCCUGUUCGAGCGUCAUUUGUACCCUCAAGCUUUGCUUGGUGUUGGGCGUCUUGUCUCUAGCUUUGCUGGAGACUCGCCUUAAAGUAAUUGGCAGCCGGCCUACUGGUUUCGGAGCGCAGCACAAGUCGCACUCUCUAUCAGCAAAGGUCUAGCAUCCACUAAGCCUUUUUUUCAACUUUUGACCUCGGAUCAGGUAGGGAUACCCGCUGAGUUUAAGCAUAUCAAUAAGCGGAGGA